UGGGGAAUAUUGCACAAUGGGCGCAAGCCUGAUGCAGCCAUGCCGCGUGUAUGAAGAAGGCCUUCGGGUUGUAAAGUACUUUCAGCGGGGAGGAAGGGAGUAAAGUUAAUACCUUUGCUCACUGACGUUACCCGCAGAAGAAGCACCGGCUAACUCCGUGCCAGCAGCCGCGGUAAUACGGAGGGUGCAAGCGUUAAUCGGAAUUACUGGGCGUAAAGCGCACGCAGGCGGUUUGUUAAGUCAGAUGUGAAAUCCCCGGGCUCAACCUGGGAACUGCAUCUGAUACUGGCAAGCUUGAGUCUCGUAGAGGGGGGUAGAAUUCCAGGUGUAGCGGUGAAAUGCGUAGGGAUCUGGAGGAAUACCGGUGGCGGAGGCGGCCCCCUGGACGAAGACUGACGCUCAGGUGCGAAAGCGUGGGGAGCAAACAGG
rnacentral:rRNA from 1 species